UCGUAAAGGUGCAUGAGUGGUGUUUGGUUUGUUACGUGUGGUUGGCUGCGGCGUUUGCAACAACUUCCAUGCUUUCAGACCUCUUCAUUUGUGCGGCAAGGCUUGUAUCGCCUUGAGCGUAUUGUGGGGUUGCUGUGUUGAAUACCUAAUCAAUGGUAUCGGUUGGAUUGAUCAAUGUUUCAUUUCGUCUGUCGUCGCAUUCGCGGCGUGAGAUGAACCUUGAUGCGGUCUCUUUGAUCCACCUCGUUGAAGCGCAUGCUUUGACGUUGUGGCGCAUUGAGCAUUGCUUGGUCUCUUGCAUACGGAACAUGUAGCGGGCAUGAAUCUAACGGUUCUUGUUUGCCCUCAUAUUAGCGUAACGCUUCUCUUACACGACUUGCUCCACGUUUUAGCUCGUACGGACGUGGU
rnacentral:misc_RNA from 1 species